rnacentral:misc_RNA from 1 species
UAUCCGUAGGUGAACCUGCGGAAGGAUCAUUAAAGUUAUAGUCCCCCGGCCCCUCCGGGCUGGGGUCUUCUAUACCACCCUUUGUUUAUUACACCUUUGUUGCUUUGGCAGGCCUGCCCUCGGGCUGCUGGCUCCGGCCGGCUCGUGCCUGCCAGAGGACCUAAACUCUGUUUGUAUAUGAAGUCUGAGUACUAUAUAAUAGUUGAAACUUUCAACAACGGAUCUCUUGGUUCUG